AAUGGGUCAGCGACUUAUAUUCUGUAGCAAGGUUAACCGAAUAGGGGAGCCGGAGGGAAACCGAGUCUUAAUUGGGCGUUAAGUUGCAGGGUAUAGACCCGAAACCCGGUGAUCUAGCCAUGGGCAGGUUGAAGGUUGGGUAACACUAACUGGAGGACCGAACCGACUAAUGUUGAAAAAUUAGCGGAUGACCUGUGGCUGGGGGUGAAAGGCCAAUCAAACCGGGAGAUAGCUGGUUCUCCCCGAAAGCUAUUUAGGUAGCGCCUCGUGAAUUCAUCUCCGGGGGUAGAGCACUGUUUCGGCUAGGGGGCCAUCCCGGCUUACCAACCCGAUGCAAACUGCGAAUACCGGAGAAUGUUAUCACGGGAGACACACGGCGGGUGCUAACGUCCGUCGUGAAGAGGGAAACAACCCAGACCGCCAGCUAAGGUCCCAAAGUCAUGGUUAAGUGGGAAACGAUGUGGGAAGGCCCAGACAGCCAGGAUGUUGGCUUAGAAGCAGCCAUCAUUUAAAGAAAGCGUAAUAGCUCACUGGUCGAGUCGGCCUGCGCGGAAGAUGUAACGGGGCUAAACCAUGCACCGAAGCUGCGGCAGCGACACUGUGUGUUGUUGGGUAGGGGAGCGUUCUGUAAGCCUGUGAAGGUGUGUCGUGAGGC
rnacentral:rRNA from 1 species